ensembl:lncRNA
CGGAACAAGACAGAGCCUCACAGUUAUGUCUGUGCUAUGUAUUUAUUUUUGUCUGUCUUUUACAGCUGACUUAACUUUCAGUCUUUUUGAACUUAGUAACAUCAGAUUCCUCAUCUUCAGCAGCAAGAGAUAAUCUUCUUAAAUGCUGUGUUUUACCUACAGACCUGUCUGAGCCUGUGUCCCUCUCUCCUCGCCCCUCCUCUCAGCUCACAGACAGUAACAGCUAGGGGCGAAUAGCCCAUUUACAAGUUAAAGGAUGCUCCUCAAGCCUGGGCAGGAAGGCCCAAUGUGGUUUGUAGUUGAAAACCACACGCACACACCCUCCUCCCCCCACAUACUCAGAGAAACCUGUUGAGCGUGCACGAACAGAUCAUUCUUUCAGGGCAAGCCAGUGGCACUCUGUGUGUGUGUACCCUCACCUCUGUGCUGUUUACCACUUACCAACCCUGUAUGUGUGUGUUUCGCUGACUCCCGGUCUGGCCUUGCCACGUCAAAUGACCGUCUCCAGCCUGCCGUCCAGAGAGAAAUAGCAACUUUGCCCUGCAUGUGUGUGUGUGUGUGUGUGUGUGUGUGUGUUUGGUUGGACUCCUGACCAGCCUGGUCUUUGGAAAUGAAGAUUUCUUCACUAAAACACUGGAUUGAGAUCAGAGCCACAGAAGAGAGUCUGGCUUUUUCCCUCUUUAGGAGCUGAGUUUGUUCCUGUCUGUUCUUUUUCAACUUUCAACUCGUGUGGUUUGGAUGUCGCAAAGAUGAGUGGAUUUCUGUAUCGUGGCAGACACUAUAAUGGACAUAAAGCGGCCCGGCCCAAGAGCAUGAUUGACAUGUGCGGUAAGUAUAUUAAAUUAAUUGAUAGAUCUUCCAUUUUACACUAAAGAUGUAAAUGUGUUGUUAUUUUUAAUGCUAUGUCACAAUACAGUUCCACAAAUGUCACUUUAUGAUGUGCUUAAAGAGGUAGUUCACCCCAAAAUUUGUUCCUCACCCUCAUGUUGUUCCAAACCUAUAUAAAUUUCUUUCUUCUUUUAAAUGAAAAGGAAGAUAUUUUGAAGAAGGAUAAAAUCCUACAGCAACUUGAGGGUGAAUAAACAAUGAAUUUUCUUUUCUCUUUCCCGCA